UACGUAGGGGCAAGCGUUGUUCGGAAUUACUGGGCGUAAAGGGCGCGUAGGCGGCACGGCAAGUCGGGAGUGAAAGGCCUGGGCUCAACCGAGGAACUGCUUUCGAGACUGCCGAGCUAGAGUGCGGAAGGGGCAACUGGAAUUCCCAGUGUAGCGGUGAAAUGCGUAGAUAUUGGGAAGAACACCUGAGGCGAAGGCGGCUCUCUGGGACGGUACUGACGCUGAGACGCGAAAGCGUGGGGAGCGAACGAGG
rnacentral:rRNA from 1 species